ACUCAAAGGAAUUGACGGGGACCCGCACAAGCGGUGGAUUAUGUGGUUUAAUUCGACUCUACGCGAAAAACCUUACCGGCUCUUGACAUGUGACGUAUGGGGACCAGAGAUGGUUUCCUUCACUUCGGGUGGCGUCAACACAGGUGCUGCAUGGCUGUUGUCAGCUCGUGUCGUGAGAUGUUGGGUUAAGUCCCGCAACGAGCGCAACCCUUAUCGUUAGUUGCCAUCAGGUUAAGCUGGGCACUCUAACGAAACUGCCGGUGAUAAGCCGGAGGAAGGUGGGGAUGACUUCAAGUCCUCAUGGCCCUUAUGGGCCGGGCUACACACGUAAUACAAUGGUGGUGACAGAGAGUUGCAAUGAUGUAAAAGUCGGAGCGAAUCUCUUAAAAGCUAUCUCAGUUCGGAUUGUCUCCUGCAACUCGGAGGCAUGAAGUCGGAAUCGCUAGUAAUCGCAGAUCAGCAUGCUGCGGUGAAUACGUUCUCGGGUCUUGUACACACCGCCCGU
rnacentral:rRNA from 1 species